GACGGACGGUGCAAGCGUUGUUCGGAAUCACUGGGCUUAAAGGGCGCGUAGGCGGGCUACCAAGUCUGUGGUGAAAUCCUCCAGCUCAACUGGAGAACGGCCGUGGAUACUGGGAGCCUCGAGGGAGAUAGGGGCAGGCGGAACUGAUGGUGGAGCGGUGAAAUGCGUUGAUAUCAUCAGGAACUCCGGUGGCGAAGGCGGCCUGCUGGAUCUCAUCUGACGCUGAGGCGCGAAAGCCAGGGGAGCAAACGGG
rnacentral:rRNA from 1 species